rnacentral:tRNA from 1 species
GCAUCCUUAGCAUGACAGUCUCAAAAUCUGAAGGUCUGAGUUAGAAUCUCAGAGGGGGUA